GGAAUAGUGGCUUAGUGGUUAGCACGUUUGCCUCGCACCUCCAGGGUUGAGGGUUCAAUUCCUGCCUCUGCCC